GGGCUGGACAUCUGGGGCACAGCAGGAGGAGGGGCCAAGUGUGACCCACCCGAGCCCAGAAGCCAGGUUCUCGACUGGACCAUCUGAGGAUGUAGAGGAUGCUGGGGCGCAGGUGCGCAGCUGUGCAGGAGGAAGAUGCUGUGGAACAGAGACCAGAGCGCUGCUCAGAGGGGGACCAUCUUUACGUUUUGCCAUUGGGAAAGCCACUGAACACAUGGAUGCUUUCAGAAAAGUAGGUACAUUUUUCCUGUGUUGACAGUAAAAGAUCAAUAAGCCAUGUGCUAGUCACCAUCAGAACCACACACAAAAAAAAAGAACUCUCCCCUGAGGUUCACUGUCAAAGGUCACUUAUCCCAUAAAAAGCUGUUUAGAAGUG